rnacentral:lncRNA from 1 species
GGCCACCCAGAUUCCGCGCUGUCUGAGCCUUUUAUCCCGACGGCAAGGAAAGUUCCCGAGGCAAGGUCUGGAGGGUCAACUUAUCCUGUGAAAGCCACUUGUGAGACCCGCAUUGCCGUAGACUCAACUUAUUUUGACUCAUUUCGUAGGGAUGAACGGAAACUUGCCCAGUACAUGGCCGUACUGGUAGCCUUUGCGAACCUCAAGUUCCUGACUUUCCAAGAAAAUAUAUUAAGUUUUCAGCUGAGUGUAACAGGAAUUGUCAUUUUUUCGGUAAGUGGUCAAUAUCAAAACGUAUUAUCGACGUUACGAAAGCCUGACAUUGUGCUUAACUUUAAAUGCCCGUGUGAACUUCACUUAUCCUAGUUAGAUAAAAUUCCUUUUGUCCUAUUAAACAUUUACAGGCACUGAAGCCGGAAAACGGCUUCCAAAUGAAAUGAUGCAAGUAUAUUACUGUCCUACUAACCUCUGCGCUAAUGGACGUCCAGAGCCGCUCCAUUUCUAGAUUAU